CCCAGCUCUGGGGGCCUCUUGCCUUGGCACCCUAGACCCUGGCUCUGCCCCAGGCACAGUCUUUCCACUUCUGCCUCUGCUGCAAAAUUGCCAGAGCUGAAAUCAGAUCCUCCUGGCUGCCCGUCCAUCCCCCAGGGCUAGUGAUGGCCACUCCCUGGGUCAGGAGAGGCAAGGAGGGCAGGUAGCAGGGGGACCCAGGAGCGUGGCUGGAUCCCUGCAGGCAGAGCACAGAGUGGAAUCUGGGUUCAGGAGCCGGAC
rnacentral:lncRNA from 1 species